rnacentral:rRNA from 1 species
UACGUAGGGGGCAAGCGUUGUCCGGAAUCAUUGGGCGUAAAGCGCGUGUAGGCGGCCCGGUAAGUCCGCUGUGAAAGUCGGGGGCUCAACCCUCGAAUGCCGGCGGAUACUGUCGGGCUAGAGUCCGGAAGAGGCGAGUGGAAUUCCUGGUGUAGCGGUGAAAUGCGCAGAUAUCAGGAGGAACACCAACGGCGAAGGCAGCUCGCUGGGACGGUACUGACGCUGAGACGCGAAAGCGUGGGGAGCAAACAGG